GACGAACGCUGGCGGCGUGCUUAACACAUGCAAGUCGAACGGAAAGGCCCUGCUUUUGUGGGGUGCUCGAGUGGCGAACGGGUGAGUAACACGUGAGUAACCUGCCCUUGACUUUGGGAUAACUUCAGGAAACUGGGGCUAAUACCGGAUAGGAGCUCCUGCUGCAUGGUGGGGGUUGGAAAGUUUCGGCGGUUGGGGAUGGACUCGCGGCUUAUCAGCUUGUUGGUGGGGUAGUGGCUUACCAAGGCUUUGACGGGUAGCCGGCCUGAGAGGGUGACCGGCCACAUUGGGACUGAGAUACGGCCCAGACUCCUACGGGAGGCAGCAGUGGGGAAUAUUGCACAAUGGGCGGAAGCCUGAUGCAGCAACGCCGCGUGCGGGAUGACGGCCUUCGGGUUGUAAACCGCUUUCGCCUGUGACGAAGCGUGAGUGACGGUAAUGGGUAAAGAAGCACCGGCUAACUACGUGCCAGCAGCCGCGGUGAUACGUAGGGUGCGAGCGUUGUCCGGAUUUAUUGGGCGUAAAGGGCUCGUAGGUGGUUGAUCGCGUCGGAAGUGUAAUCUUGGGGCUUAACCCUGAGCGUGCUUUCGAUACGGGUUGACUUGAGGAAGGUAGGGGAGAAUGGAAUUCCUGGUGGAGCGGUGGAAUGCGCAGAUAUCAGGAGGAACACCAGUGGCGAAGGCGGUUCUCUGGGCCUUUCCUGACGCUGAGGAGCGAAAGCGUGGGGAGCGAACAGGCUUAGAUACCCUGGUAGUCCACGCUGUAAACGGUGGGUACUAGGUGUGGGGUCCAUUCCACGGGUUCCGUGCCGUAGCUAACGCUUUAAGUACCCCGCCUGGGGAGUACGGCCGCAAGGCUAAAACUCAAAGGAAUUGACGGGGCCCCGCACAAGCGGCGGAGCAUGCGGAUUAAUUCGAUGCAACGCGUAGAACCUUACCUGGGUUUGACAUGGAUCGGGAGUGCUCAGAGAUGGGUGUGCCUCUUUUGGGGUCGGUUCACAGGUGGUGCAUGGCUGUCGUCAGCUCGUGUCGUGAGAUGUUGGGUUAAGUCCCGCAACGAGCGCAACCCUUGUUCACUGUUGCCAGCACGUUAUGGUGGGGACUCAGUGGAGACCGCCGGGGUCAACUCGGAGGAAGGUGGGGAUGACGUCAAGUCAUCAUGCCCCUUAUGUCCAGGGCUUCACGCAUGCUACAAUGGCUGGUACAGAGAGUGGCGAGCCUGUGAGGGUGAGCGAAUCUCGGAAAGCCGGUCUCAGUUCGGAUUGGGGUCUGCAACUCAACCUCAUGAAGUCGGAGUCGCUAGUAAUCGCAGAUCAGCAACGCUGCGAUGAAUACGUUCCCGGG
rnacentral:rRNA from 1 species